rnacentral:rRNA from 1 species
UAGGGAAUCUUCCGCAAUGGACGCAAGUCUGACGGAGCAACGCCGCGUGAGUGAAGAAGGAUUUCGGUUCGUAAAACUCUGUUGUUAGAGAAGAACAGCGCAUAGAGUAACUGUUAUGCGUGUGACGGUAUCUAACCAGAAAGCCACGGCUAACUACGUGCCAGCAGCCGCGGUAAUACGUAGGUGGCAAGCGUUGUCCGGAUUUAUUGGGCGUAAAGCGAGCGCAGGCGGUCAAUUAAGUCUGAUGUGAAAGCCCCCGGCUCAACCGGGGAGGGUCAUUGGAAACUGGUUGACUUGAGUGCAGAAGGGGAGAGUGGAAUUCCAUGUGUAGCGGUGAAAUGCAUAGAUAUAUGGAGGAACACCAGUGGCGAAGGCGACUCUCUGGUCUGUAACUGACGCUGAGGUUCGAAAGCGUGGGUAGCAAACAGG